ACUGCAAUUAGCAGGACGUAGACGCUCUGGUGGCGGGGUGCCGCUGCGCGCACGGUCAGACGGUAGAGCCCGGCACGCGUGAGCGCUCUGCGGGUGUAGACCACACCUUGUCCAGCGCGCAGCUGACGGAGAGCGAAGGGGCUGCGUGGGUCUGGCUCCAGCACGUUACCCGGAAGCCAGGCCUACAGGAAGGGAGGCAGUUAUAGGAUCCGAGCAGGUUCACACAGCGCUGCCCCUGCUGGCAGAGAAAAUGACACCUCUGUAGGCAUGCGCUUCCUUUGGAAUCUGGGCCCUGAGGAGCCGACUGCACAUUGGGCCAGAAUCCCGCUGCACUUCCCCGGGGCUGCUCACCUCUACAAUUCCUGUGGUCCCAAGCCAGGGAGAAGCCAGUGGGGCAGGAGCAGGAGAAGUGGCCAGGAGCAUUA